AUAACUAAGUAAAUUGAGGAAAUAGGCGCAACUCCUAUGCUACCCCAGUAACUGUUAAAGUCAGAUACUCAAAAUUACAUUCCCUGGGGCGAGGGUGUAUGGAUAUUAUCCAUACUUUUUUGGAUAAUAUUUUUAU
rnacentral:ncRNA from 18 species